CCUCGCCUCGCCCCGUCCCGGCCGCCUGCCCUGGCUGUCCGUCGCCGCCAGCCGCGCCCCGGGACACCGCUGCGGGCGCUCCGUCGCGAGCAGUCGCUCCUUCGUACAACUAGGUAAACUAGUCUUGGGGAAUGUGAGUUUUGCUUUCAGAGCUGAAAACCAGAAAAAAUAAUUGCGGUCAUUUGCACAGAGUAAGCACAGAAAUUGAGAUGAUAAAAUCCGAGGAAAUACGAUAUUAAAAGCAAAGGACUGGACUUGGAAAUUAUCGUGCGGGGUCAGAGCUUUUCGCAGGGAGAAAGGAGCCCGCACGCGGAUGUCUCCUUCACGCGUACAUACCUUCGCACAGGCAUACAGGUGUAUUUAAAUUUCUGUGCAAUCCAUAAAGACAAUGUGUGCGCUCACAACCUCGCUAACAGAUGGCGUGUCGCUGGACAACUCGCUCAGUGUAGACAGGGCAGACCACUUCACACUCCCCCUAGACCGUAAGUGCCAGUUUAAGAGAAGAAACAGUGAACUGCAGGUUGCGAGCUCCAUCAGGUCCCAAGGCAGCGCGCCGCGAAGAGGGCCGGUGUGACAGCCGUGACAGUGAGCUCUGGAAGCCGCAGGACCGGUCACCGAGUGCGUGCCCCUACCGCCCAUCGUAAACUAGAGACGAUGGUUAUAAGACAAUGUACAUACCUGAAAAGUAAUUGCGACUGGGAAGACAGCUAGCGGCAGAGUACUUGCUUACCUCACAUGCUCAGGGUUCUGGGUUUGAUUCCCAACACCUCCACGAAGAAACGAAAAAGCUACCUGACAUGGAGUGUUAAGUAAAUGUUACUUAUUAGAAGGCGAAUACCCAAACUAUGGAAAAAUUUCCUUUUUAAAUGUUGCCACUUCGAACUGCAAAACUUGCACGGCCGCAGGAAAUGUCACUGUCAGCUGUGAGUCGCCGGUUUAGUCUCUGCUCUUGUUUUCUUCCCUCUGUUCAGCAGAUACAGGAGGAGCUCCACCGGGUCAGGCACUGCAAUAGCACUGAGGACGCCGCAGAAACUCCUGGACUCACGAAACAGAGGGCAGUAUGCCUUAACGUUCCGCCUCUUCCCAAAUUAGGUGGAAGGCUCAAAUGAGAAGUGUGAAAACACCUCGUGUGAGAAACUGACAGGGUAGAGACCAAAAUGGAGGAUGAACAUUCCGUCAUGGAUAAUGGAAAUAGGAAGAGAAUGUUCAAAUGUGAGCAGAGACAGGCAUCUAACAGAAGUGUGAGAUCUACACAUUCCAACUUGCAAGAGAAAGCCUCCAACUUGCUGAUUUUGUAGAUCUAGAGAUUUACAAACAGGGAGAAAGAAAAAAGGAGACACUGUCUUUAAGAACAACACGUAGAGCAAACUGUACCCGUUUAUUUACAAUUGUAAUGUACAAACAGUAACACAAACAUCUUUACAGCAAUAUUAUGAAAAGUCCCAUGGCUGAGAUGGGCAAAAAAUGAGACUUCAAGACAUUUCUAAGGGGAAUGCCAAGAAAAAGGGAAAACUGCAAUACAAGUUUUGGAAAGAGUUAUAAAUACCAAGUAUCGCACUAAGUGCAAUUUCAUGCAAAUGUCUUCCAUCAAACUGCUUUUAUUUAGAUAGCAGAAUAAAAUUUCUUCAACUAU